GAGCUAUGAUGAUAUAGGCUUCAGCAUUGGUUGGGUCCAUUGCAUUCUUCUGAACUAUCAGUUGAUGUAUGCCACACCUCUGAGCUC